GGGCGGUGGACCCCCAGCUGGCAGAGCCUGGGGCGGGGGCCUGAAGUGGCGCGGACCGCCUCCUCCGCCGCGGUCGCCCGGGCUGGCGCUCGGGUGCCCAUUACUGAGAUUGUGGGAGGUGGAGUGGGAACCGCUAGCUUUGCAGAACGCAGAGUCCCUCCUCACCCUGGCGUUCCCGGUGCCCUGGAGUGGAGUCGCGGAAUACUGUUCAGCGACUCGGGUGGUUUUCCUUGCGUCCCGCCACGCGGCGGCUCCUCACUGAAAGGCUGCCUUCUCCCCACAGCUCCAGGUCCGAGAGGAGCCGCACCGUCGGGUUGGAGAUCGCGCGCAAGGAUGGCCUCUGGGUCUGCAUCUGCCUGGCAUCAGCCGCAGGAAAAGCCUGGUCCCUAGGCACAGUCGUGAUUCGAGCCUUUCGUUCCCUCGCGCAUUGAGGCCCCCCCUGAUUGUAUGGUGCCUGCCCACAUUGAGUGUGGGUCUUCUUCUGUCAGUCCACUGACUCACAGGUUAAUCUCUUCUGGAAACACCCUCACAGACACAUCCAGAAGCAUCCCUCAGUCCAGUCGAGUUGACACCUGAAAUUAACCAUCACACAUGGGAAAACUGUGCACUUGUCCUGAUCUUCACCAUGGUCUGAAAUGAACCUGUGUGAGCCCGGUGUGACAGAAGCAGGGACCACAAAAGUCUAAGGAAUUCAUGUGUUAGGACUUCUUCCAGUUCUAUACAAUUCAUUUUAUGAGAAGACAUAGAUUGCCUUCCCGUUUUCAAGACACGCAACUCUAAAAUGGUGAACAAUGUACCUCAAAUAUUCUUUAAUUUCUGCAAUAAUCUGUUGUAAAUCUUUAUCUCGAAAUGGCUUCCUAAAUCUACAUUUUUUCAAACUGC